rnacentral:tRNA from 2 species
CCCUGGUUAGCUCAGUUGCUAGAGCACUCCACCUGUAAUGGAGAGGUCCGUGUUCGAUACCCGGACCUGGCG